rnacentral:misc_RNA from 1 species
GAUGAAGAACGUAGCGAAAUGCGAUAAGUAAUGCGAAUUGCAGAAUUCAGUGAGUCAUCGAAUCUUUGAACGCACAUUGCGCCCUGUGGUAUUCCGCAGGGCAUGCCUGUUCGAGCGUCAUUCCAACCCUCAAGCCCCGCUUGGUGUUGGGCCCCGCCCGCUGUGGCCGGCCCUAAAGACAGUGGCGGCGCCGCCUGGCCCUCAGCGUAGUACAUCUCUCGCUCCAGGGUCCGGUGGCCGCCUGCCAGAACCCCCCAACUCUGUGGUUGACCUCGGAUCAGGUAGGGAUACCCGCUGAACUUAAGCAUAUCAAUAAGCGGAGGA